AACGAACGCUGGCGGCAUGCCUAACACAUGCGAGUCGAACGAAGUCUUCGGACUUAGUGGCGCACGGGUGCGUAACGCGUGGGAAUCUGCCCUUGGGUACGGAAUAACUCAGAGAAAUUUGUGCUAAUACCGUAUAAUGUCUUCGGACCAAAGAUUUAUCGCCCAAGGAUGAGCCCGCGUAAGAUUAGCUAGUUGGUGGGGUAAAAGCCUACCAAGGCGACGAUCUUUAGCUGGUCUGAGAGGAUGAUCAGCCACACUGGGACUGAGACACGGCCCAGACUCCUACGGGAGGCAGCAGUGGGGAAUAUUGGACAAUGGGCGAAAGCCUGAUCCAGCAAUGCCGCGUGAGUGAUGAAGGCCCUAGGGUUGUAAAGCUCUUUUACCAGGGAUGAUAAUGACAGUACCUGGAGAAUAAGCUCCGGCUAACUCCGUG
rnacentral:rRNA from 1 species